GAAUAUGAGAGUGACAUCUGUCAUCCCAUUUAUUGCCAGUAUUAAUUCUGCUGAUCUGCAUAGCUAGGCAGUUGUCCCCUUCUUCCUUCAUGGCCACAUGAGCAAGUGUCCUUCCUGAAGUUGCUGGUUGAGUCAAAGAGGAUGGCCUUUCCCAAUGGAGAAGGAACAGUUUUCCAUCAAGGGUAGACAGCACUGCCCUGCUAAAGCCACCAAACAAAUUCUCAUGUUGUUGCACAAAAGGCAGGCGUCCUGGUCUCUUUCUGAUUGACUCCGUUCCCAUAAAGUUAGUUUAUCAGCUGUUAGU
ensembl:misc_RNA predicted gene, 23179